UACGGGGGGGGCAAGCGUUGUUCGGAAUUACUGGGCGUAAAGGGCUCGUAGGCGGCCAACUAAGUCAGACGUGAAAUCCCUCGGCUUAACCGGGGAACUGCGUCUGAUACUGGUUGGCUUGAAUCCGGGAGAGGGAUGUGGAAUUCCAGGUGUAGGGGUGAAAUCCGUAGAUAUCUGGAGGAAUACCGAUGGCGAAGGCAGCUUUCUGGCCUGUAACUGACGCUGAGAUUCGAAAGCGUGGGUAGCAAACAGG
rnacentral:rRNA from 1 species